rnacentral:pre_miRNA from 1 species
CUUAAGACGAGGACAAAAGGGAGACUAGACAAUACGGAGCGCUCCGUGUUGUCUAGUCUCCCUUUUGUCCUCAUCUUAAG